rnacentral:piRNA from 2 species
UGCGAUGCUCAGAGACUCCGAUGAAGAUG